rnacentral:rRNA from 1 species
GAUGAACGCUGGCGGCGUGCCUAAUACAUGCAAGUCGAGCGAACAGACGAGGAGCUUGCUCCUCUGACGUUAGCGGCGGACGGGUGAGUAACACGUGGAUAACCUACCUAUAAGACUGGGAUAACUUCGGGAAACCGGAGCUAAUACCGGAUAAUAUAUUGAACCGCAUGGUUCAAUAGUGAAAGACGGUUUUGCUGUCACUUAUAGAUGGAUCCGCGCCGCAUUAGCUAGUUGGUAAGGUAACGGCUUACCAAGGUGACGAUGCGUAGCCGACCUGAGAGGGUGAUCGGCCACACUGGAACUGAGACACGGUCCAGACUCCUACGGGAGGCAGCAGUAGGGAAUCUUCCGCAAUGGGCGAAAGCCUGACGGAGCAACGCCGCGUGAGCGAUGAAGGUCUUCGGAUCGUAAAACUCUGUUAUUAGGGAAGAACAAAUGUGUAAGUAACUAUGCACGUCUUGACGGUACCUAAUCAGAAAGCCACGGCUAACUACGUG